rnacentral:lncRNA from 1 species
GAUUGCUUCAGUUUUCUUGGCUUCAGUCUCCUUCACCUCUUCUGCCGACAGCUCAUUUGCUGAUAUGUUUUCUUCCACUUCAAUAGGUUCAGUAUUCUUGAUUUCUUCUAGGUCUAGCUCUUGUGCUCGUGGGAUAUCAACUGGUGCCUCAGUUGCUAUUACAUGCUCUUCAGGAGCAGCCUCAUCUGCAGGAGCAACAUUGCUUGUCACAUCCUCAGUGAGUUCGCUGAUGUUUGCAUCAGGGCUCUUGUUGAUUGCUUCAGUUUCCUUCACCACUUCUGCUUGCAGGCCACUUGCUGAUCUAUUUUCUUCCACCUCAACUGGUUCAACACUCUUGAUCUCUUCUAGUUCCGGCUCCUGUGCCUGUGGUAUAUCAAAUGUUGUCUCAGCUACUGUUACAUGCUCUGCAUGAGGUUCCUCGUCUGCAGGCACAACGUUGCUUUUCACAUCCUCAUUGAGCUCACUGAUGUUUGCAUCAGUCCUUUUGCUGAUUGCUUCAGUUUCCUUCACCUCUUCUUCUGGCAGGUCACCUGCUUCAGUAUUCUUGAUCUCUUCUAGCUCUGGCUCUUGUGCAUGUGGUAUAUCGACUGUUGUCUCAGCUACUGUUACAUGUUCUUUAUGAGCUGCCUCAUCUGUAAGAGCAAUGUUGCAUUUCAUAUCUUCAGUAAGCUCACUGAUGUUUGCAUCAGUGCUCUCAUUGAUUGCUUCAGUGUCCUUCACCUCUUCUGCCGGUAUGUCACUCGCUGAUGUGUUUUCUUCCACCUCAACAGGUUCAGUAUUCUCGAUCUCUUCUAGUUCUGGUUCUUGUGCUCGUGGAAUAUUAACUGUUCCCUCAGUUGCUAUUAUAUGCUCUUCAUGAGCUGCCUCGUCUGCAGGAUUGACACUGCUUGUCACAUCCUCAAUGAGCUCGCUGAUGUUUGCAUCAAUGCUCUCGUUGAUUGCUUCAGUUUCCUUCACCUCUUCUGCUGGCAAGUUACCUGCUGAUCUGUUCUCCUCCACCUCAACAGGUUCAACAUUCUCAAGAUCCUUUAGUUCCGGCGCUUGUGCUUGUGGUAUAUCAACCGUUGCCUCAGCUGCUAUUACAUGUUCUUCAGGAGCUGCCUCUUCUGCAGGAGUAACAUUGCUUUUCAUAUCCUCAGUGAGCUCACUAAUGCUUGCAUCAGUGCUCUCAUUGAUUGCUUCAGUGUCCUUCACCUUUUCUGCUGGCAGGUCACUUGCUGGUAUGUUUUCUUCCACCUUAACAGGUCUAGUAUUCUGGAUCUCUUCUACUUCUGGCUCUUGUGCUUGUGGUAUAUCGACUGUAUUAUCAGCUACCGUUACAUGUUCUUCAGGAGCUGCCUCGUCUGCAAGAGCAACAUUGCUUUUCACAUCUUCAGUAAGCUCAUUGUUGUUUGCAUCAGUGCUCUCGUUGAUUGCUUCAGUCUCCACGGCUUCACUAUCUUUCACCUCUUCUGCUGGCAGAUCAUUUUCUGAUACAUAUGCUUCCACUUCAGCAGGUUCAGUGUUCUUGGUCUCUUCUAGUUCUGGCUCUUGUGUUCGUGGUAUAUCAACUGUUGCGGCAGUUGCUAUUACAUGUUCUUCAGGAGCUGCCUCGUCUGCACACACGAGAUUGCUUUUCACAUCCUCAGUAAGCUUACUGAUGUUUGCAUCAAUGCUCUCGUUGAAUGCUUCAGUUUCCUUGGCUUCAGUGUCCUUCAUCUCUUCUGCCGGCAUGUCACUAGCUGAUAUGUUUUCUUUCACUUCAACAGGUUCAAUAUUCUUGAUCUCUUCUAGUUCCGGCUCUUGUGCUUGUGCUAUAUCAACUGUUGCCUCAGUUGCUAUUACAUGUUCUUCAGGAGCAGCCUCGUCUGCAAGAGCAACGUUACUUUCCACAUCCUCAGCGAUCUCACUGAAGUUUGCAUCAGUGCUCCCAUUGGUUGCUUCAGUUUCCUUGGCUUCAUUGCCGUUCACCUCUUCUGCCGGCAG